UACGGGGGGGAGCAAGCGUUGUUCGGAUUUACUGGGCGUAAAGGGCGCGUAGGCGGCCACCGCAAGUCGAUUGUGAAAUCUCCGGGCUUAACCCGGAAAGGUCAACCGAUACUGCGGGGCUAGAGUGCAGAAGGGGCAACUGGAAUUCUCGGUGUAGCGGUGAAAUGCGUAGAUAUCGAGAGGAACACCGGUGGCGAAGGCGGUUAGCUGGGCAGUUGCUGACACUGAGGCGCGACAGCGUGGGGAGCAAACAGG
rnacentral:rRNA from 1 species